rnacentral:rRNA from 1 species
GACGAACGCUGGCGGCGUGCCUAAUACAUGCAAGUAGGACGCAGUUGCGAACGUGAGAGCAACGCGUAGGUAACUACCUAUUAGAGGGGGCUAACUAUUGGAAACGAUAGCUAAUACCGCAUACUAGUAGAUGGACCUGCGUUGUAUUAGGUAGUAGGUAGGGUAAUGGCCUACCUAGGCAACGAUACAUAGCCGAGCUGAGAGUGGAAGCGGCGACACGGGGACUGAGACACAGCCCAGACUCCAACGGGAGGCAGCAGGAGGGAAGCUUCGGCAAUGGGGGGAACCCUGACCGAGCAACGCGGCGUGAGUGAAGAAGGUGUUCGGAUGGUAAAGCUCUGUUGUGAAGGAAGCGGUACUUAACCAGAAAGGGACGGCUAACUACGUGCCAGCAGCCGCGGUAAUUC